GCAUGCAUCUUUUACCCCAUGUCGGACAGUAAAGUAAUCGGGAGCCGUUCCUUGCCGCCGGCAAAUCGCCGGCAGGCGGGUGGUCGUCCUCGUCGAGCCUUCCUCCUCCCGGCUGCUCCCCGGUUGGUGGCAAAGCCUCGCUCGCACCGGCAUAGAAGUAGCCCGCUUGACCUUCGAUCCGGCUGCUUCCCCCUCCACGCAUCAUCCAGGCUUCCUUCCACUGAAGCACGCCGCCUCGAAUUCCUCUCUCGUACUCGACCUCCACUUCACGGGAUCGAGCGGACAGGCCCGACGAUUCACUCUUGUUUUGCUACUACAGAGACUAUGUUUCUAGGGGAAAAUACAAGCCUCCAAAACGCGGUAUGGACAUCAUUGUUGAUCCUUGUUUUAAUUACAUGUUUGAGCCAUCUCUCAGUUCAUUCUUAUCUCCACUAAAUAUUAUGUUGCUUAUAUAUAAACUAGGAACGGUUAGCUAGAAUAAGGAAGCAGCUCCUAAGACCUGAAUUGUACCCAUCAUCAUACGACACCGCCUGGGUGGCUAUGGUGCCCUUGUCAUGUUCCCCGCAUAUUCCAUGCUUCCCUCAAUGUGUUGAAUGGAUACUACAAAACCAGCAAAGAAAUGGAUCUUGGGGUCAGAGUCAAAUAGACUCCUCAGUUGACAAGGACAUCCUCUCAUCAACAUUGGCUUGUGUACUUGCACUUAAGAGAUGGAAUGUUGGUAGUAAGCAUAUCCAGAGAGGUAUGAACAAAGACGAUUUAGUUGUUGUCGUUUCAGGUUUUGAAUUGAUGUGAUGAAAAUGUUUCUAACAGGUUUGUGUUUUAUUGGAAAGUAUUUCUCCAUUGUAAUGGAUGAGCAUACUACUGCUCCUAUAGGCUUCAAUGUCAUUUUUGCUGGUAUGCUUAGCCUUGCCAUUGGGAUGGGUUUGGAAUUUCCAGUUCCACAAACUCAUGUUCAUGGGAUUCUUCACCUCCGGGAGAAGGAACUAAAAAGGUUUGGGAUUGACAAUUUUGGCAUGAAAAUUGUGUUAUCUUUCACUUUUUUGGAUGUGUUUGUACUUUAACAACACCUGGUUCUUGAAUUUUGUUUCCAUUGACUACUUAUGUUAACGGAAUUUUACUAUCUGGUUUUUCUUACUUUCCCUUUUGAAAGAUGAAACUCAUUAAGAAGUUUAUAUUUUUUUUUCAAAGUUUUGCUAAGAACCACUCUUUGAAAGGGAUAACAUCGUUAGAUGUGAUUCAUAUUCGUCUUGUCCAUAGUGAUGAAUCAUCAAUCAGAAUUUGAGUAUGCCAUGUAUAUAUUGACAUAAUUCAGAGUUGCUGAGGAUAAAUCUUAUGGAAAAGAAGCGUAUAUGGCUUAUAUUUGUGAAGGGCUAGGAAACAUGUUGGACUGGUAUAAAGUUAUGAAGUUCCAGAGGAAGAACGGGUCGUUGUUCAACUCUCCUUCAGCAACUGCUGCUGCUUUAAUCCACAAUUAUGAUGACAAUGCCCUCAAGUACCUAAAUUCUCUUGUGACUAAAUUUGGUAGUUCAGUACCAACUGUAUAUCCAAUAAAUAUAUAUUGUCAGCUUUCAAUGGUGGAUUCUCUUGAAAAGGUCGGGAUAUCUCAGCAUUUUCUUAAUGAGAUAAAGGGCAUCCUUGAUGUAACAUACAGGUAAUUGAUGACAAAGGAUAUUUAUACUUCAUAGAUUGUAAACUUAACAUAUCCCCUUUUUAGUUUGUGGUUAUAGAGAGAUGAGGAAAUCAUGUUGGAUGUAGAAACAUGCGCACUAUCGUUUCGUCUUUUACGGAUGAACGGAUAUGGUGUUUCCUCUGGUACUUCCUUGGACAGAAA